rnacentral:tRNA from 1 species
GCGCCCGUAGUUCAGCGGAAGAGCAUCGGUCUUCGGAACCGAGGGUCGCAGGUUCGAAUCCUGCCGGGCGUGCCA